GAUGAACGCUGGCGGCGUGCCUAAUACAUGCAAGUCGAGCGAACAGAUGAGGAGCUUGCUCCUCUGACGUUAGCGGCGGACGGGUGAGUAACACGUGGAUAACCUACCUAUAAGACUGGGAUAACUUCGGGAAACCGGCGCUAAUACCGGAUAAUAUAUUGAACCGCAUGGUUCAAUAGUGAAAGACGGUUUUGCUGUCACUUAUAGAUGGAUCCGCGCCGCAUUAGCUAGUUGGUAAGGUAACGGCUUACCAAGGCAACGAUGCGUAGCCGACCUGAGAGGGUGAUCGGCCACACUGGAACUGAGACACGGUCCAGGCUCCUACGGGAGGCAGCAGUAGGGAAUCUGCCGCAAUGGGCGAAAGCCUGACGGAGCAACGCCGCGUGAGGGAUGAAGGUCUUCGGAUCGUAAAACUCUGUUAUUAGGGAAGAACAAAUGUGUAAGUAACUAUGCACGUCUUGACGGUACCUAAUCAGAAAGCCACGGCUAACUACGUG
rnacentral:rRNA from 1 species